GACUCGGUAGCUCAGCUGGUAGAGCAAAUGACUCUUAAUCAUUGGGUCGAGGGUUCGAGCCCCUCCCGGGUCA
rnacentral:tRNA from 2 species